AUGGCGACCGGCGCACGGGUGAGUAACGCGUAUCCAACCUGCCCUUUACUAUGGGACAGCCCGUCGAAAGGCGGAUUAAUACCGUAUGUUGUCAUGUUGAUGCAUAUUUUCAUGACCAAAGGCUUCGGCCGGUAAAGGAUGGGGAUGCGUCUGAUUAGCUUGCCGGCGGGGUAACGGCCCACCGGGGCGACGAUCAGUAGGGGUUCUGAGAGGAAGGUCCCCCACAUUGGGACUGAGACACGGUCCAAACUCCUACGGAAGGCAGCAG
rnacentral:rRNA from 1 species